GCAGCUGANCAGCCAUGCCGCGUGUNUGAAGAAGGCCUUCGGGUUGUAAAGUACUUUCAGCGGGGAGGAAGGGGUUAAGGUUAAUAACCUUAGCCAUUGACGUUACCCGCAGAAGAAGCACCGGCUAACUCCGUGCCAGCAGCCGCGGUAAUACGGAGGGUGCAAGCGUUAAUCGGAAUUACUGGGCGUAAAGCGCACGCAGGCGGUCUGUCAAGUCGGAUGUGAAAUCCCCGGGCUCAACCUGGGAACUGCAUUCGAAACUGGCAGGCUUGAGUCUCGUAGAGGGGGGUAGAAUUCCAGGUGUAGCGGUGAAAUGCGUAGAGAUCUGGAGGAAUACCGGUGGCGAAGGCGGCCCCCUGGACGAAGACUGACGCUCAGGUGCGAAAGCGUGGGGAGCAAACAGGAUUAGAAACCCUUGUAGUCCAGACCAAGUCUNGNNUUACCGUAA
rnacentral:rRNA from 1 species